GAUCUAUUUUUAAAUUGAAUAUUUAUUUUUAUUCAAAUAUAUUGAAAUUAAUAUGGAAACAAAAGUUCAUAAAUAUUAUUCUUAAUAACAAGAAUUGAGAUUUGGGCAUAAGUUUGAAAAGCCAUGUCAGAAGAGUAGGAUUAAAGACAAAGUAUUAAGAGUAAUUGGGCUGUUCCUGAACAAUAUUGAAUAUAAAUAUUCAAAAAUA